GAGUUACUCCCUCCGACCCAUAUUACUUGUUGAAAUAUUACAUGUAUCUAGACGCUUUUUAAACAUAGAUGCAUCCAUAUUUGGGCAAAUUUGAGACAAAUAAUAUGGGUCGGAGGGAGUACUUU
rfam:Brachypodium distachyon strain Bd21 chromosome 2, whole genome shotgun sequence.